AGUGAACGCUGGCGGUAGGCCUAACACAUGCAAGUCGAACGGCAGCACAGUAAGAGCUUGCUCUUACGGGUGGCGAGUGGCGGACGGGUGAGGAAUACAUCGGCAUCUACUUUUUCGUGGGGGAUAACGUAGGGAAACUUACGCUAAUACCGCAUACGACCUACGGGUGAAAGCAGGGGAUCUUCGGACCUUGCGCGAUUGAAUGAGCCGAUGUCGGAUUAGCUAGUUGGCGGGGUAAAGGCCCACCAAGGCGACGAUCCGUAGCUGGUCUGAGAGGAUGAUCAGCCACACUGGAACUGAGACACGGUCCAGACUCCUACGGGAGGCAGCAGUGGGGAAUAUUGGACAAUGGGCGCAAGCCUGAUCCAGCCAUACCGCGUGGGUGAAGAAGGCCUUCGGGUUGUAAAGCCCUUUUGUUGGGAAAGAAAAGCAGCAGGUUAAUACCCCGCGGUUCUGACGGUACCCAAAGAAUAAGCACCGGCUAACUUCGUG
rnacentral:rRNA from 1 species